UGCCUCUGUGGUGGAUAGUGGAGUGUUUCCCAUGUGGUAUUGGUGUGCUGGAUAUCCUUUCACUUGUAGCCUGGUAACAUACACUCCCAGGUCUUUCUCUGCCUCUGUGGUGGAUAGUGGAGUGUUUCCCAUGUGGUAUUGGUGUGCUGGAUAUCCCUUCACUGGUAGCCUGGUAACAUACACUCCCAGGUCUUUCUCUGCCUCUGUGGUGGAUAGUGGAGUGUUUCCCAUGUGGUAUUGGUGUGCUGGAUAUCCCUUCACUGGUAGCCUGGUAACAUACACUCCCAGGUCUUUCUCUGCCUCUGUGGUGGAUAGUAGAGUGUUUCCCAUGUGGUAUUGGUGUGCUGGAUAUCCCUUCACUGGUAGCCUGGUAACAUACACUCCCAGGUCUUUCUCUGCCUCUGUGGUGGAUAGUAGAGUGUUUCCCAUGUGGUAUUGGUAUGCUGGAUAUCCCUUCACUGGUAGCCUGGUAACAUACACUCCCAGGUCUUUCUCUGCCUCUGUGGUGGAUAGUGGAGUGUUUCCCAUGUGGUAUUGGUGUGCUGGAUAUCCCUUCACUGGUAGCCUGGUAACAUACACUCCCAGGUCUUUCUCUGCCUCUGUGGUGGAUAGUGGAGUGUUUCCCAUGUGGUAUUGGUGUGCUGGAUAUCCCUUCACUGGUAGCCUGGUAACAUACACUCCCAGGUCUUUCUCUGCCUCUGUGGUGGAUAGUGGAGUGUUUCCCAUGUGGUAUUGGUGUGCUGGAUAUCCCCUCCCAUGGUGCAGGA